rnacentral:lncRNA from 1 species
CUUCAGACAAAUUUGAAAGGCAUUUAUGCAUCUAAUUCAUGCAAACUAAUGCUCCUGAAAAUUGCUGCUUUUUAAACCAAGUUUAUAAUAUCACUCAUUUUGGACGCUAAUCAUUUCCAACCAUUUGGAAUGCUGUUUUUAUUUGCAUAUCUCCAUGUAUGCAUGCUGAUCAUGACUAGCAUUGAUUCUUGGAUGUAAUACUGCUGUGUUCUUUGCCUGCCUUAAUAUUCAGUUUACUGUUACAGAAAAGCCAGACCACUCUUCCGAGCAAUGAGGUGUGUCUCACCGAUGUAAUGCAAGGACAUUCAAGAAUGACCUCGCCUUUUAUGGUGAAUCUGAGCAGUGUCUCAUCGAGCCCCUCAGUGACUUCCAAGUGAUGACCAAAAGCCCAACUCUUCCCCACCUAUCAGUGAAAGACGUGAACUGUGGUCACUGAGAGUACAUGCACCUGCUUCCAGGAGACAAUCAGGGCACAAGCUU